rnacentral:sRNA from 1 species
GCUACCGGAAAAGGCUUCGGGAGGGAGC